UGUUAAAAGUUUCAUCCAUUUUUACAUAAAAACUGUCGUGACUGAUCAAAAUAACUAAACAAUUACACGUGACAGUGCCACGUGUACCUCACGUUGAUGUACAAGAACUAAGUUUUAAUAGUAAAAAUAGAUGGAAUUUAAAUUA
rnacentral:pre_miRNA from 1 species